rnacentral:miRNA from 1 species
CUGUACUAUUCUACAACUCUGACCAUUGAAUAUCACAGCAAUGGCUAGUGAUGUAGAUUAUCUACAG